GCGGUGGUGGCGGAAUAGGUAGACGCGCUAGCUUCAGGUGCUAGUGUCCGCAAGGACGUGAGAGUUCAAGUCUCUCCCUCCGCACCA
rnacentral:tRNA from 1 species